AAUAUUGCACAAGUGGGCGCAAGCCUGAUGCAGCCAUGCCGCGUGUAUGAAGAAGGCCGUUCGGGUAGUAAAGUACUUCAGCAGUGAGGAAGGUGGGUAUGUUAAUAGCAUACUCAUUUGACGUUAGCUGCAGAAGAAGCACCGGCUAACUCCGUGCCAGCAGCCGCGGUAAUACGGAGGGUGCGAGCGUUAAUCGGAAUUACUGGGCGUAAAAGCGCAUGCAGGUGGUUUGUUAAGUCAGAUGUGAAAGCCCGGGGCUCAACCUCGGAAUUGCAUUUGAAACUGGCAAACUAGAGUACUGUAGAGGGGGUAGAAUUUCAGGUGUAGCGGUGAAAUGCGUAGAGAUCUGAAGGAAUACCGGUGGCGAAGGCGGCCCCCUGGACAGAUACUGACACUCAGAUGCGAAAGCGUGGGGAGCAAACAGGAUUAGAUACCCUGGUAG
rnacentral:rRNA from 1 species